GGGCACUACCCCCUGGUCCCAGCACAAAUCCACUGCUGGCCCUGUCACCCUCCCAGAUGCCUCUGAGGAAGUCAAAAAAUGUUCUUCUCCUCAAUUUUCUCCAUGGGAAAAGGCAAAAUGCCAUUUCCUGUCACUCCUUCCUCUUCCAGAGCAUCUCUUAUCUGUAGAUGGACCAAAACCAUCUAGUUUGGGCAUGAUUUGAACAAGGAAAAAGGUUCAAAUUGACAGAAAUUUAUCUGUUCUUAAGUCAAUAUUUCCACUUUCUCCUUUGCUCUAGAUGGAAAAUCCUGGAAGCAUUUGCAAGGUAGAGCACAGGCCACACAAAACCAUGACCAGGUCUCCUGAAAUUACACUCGGGAAGCUCUGCCCCACAUCAGAAGCUGCCUCUGGCUCCUUCAGCCCACACCUGAGACCCCAGGAAGAAAACGAAGUUGGGUGCCCCCUGUGCCCUGCUCCAGCUGGCAGGCAGUAUUCAGGGCUUGAAGGCAGCAGGAAUGCCACAGCAGGACAGAAAAGAGAGAACACUCAAUGGCAGGCAGACCCUGGGAUGCUGCUCCUCACCUGCCGUCGAGGGAAUCCAAACUCUUCUGCUUGUGGGACACCUCCAGCUUCUCACGACCGUGCCUGGGCUCGGGGCUCUUCAGGGGAGCUGCCUUCUCAUGCAUCGGCGUGGCACUGCAAGGAGACACCCAUCAGCCCCCUAGGGAAAGGGGAAAAGGGGUCUGGAGCUGUAAAUCUGUUCCCUUCAAUCCCAGCCUGCACAGAGACAUGAGAAUCUGCUGCUCAAGGACAGCAAGAAUAUUUCUGCUAUUUCUCAAGUCAUAUGGAGAUUAAAAAAAAGUCAUUUUUCUGCCAGGGACACCCUAGCACUCAGAACACAGCAGCCAAAUUGCUGCAGCUCCCUGCAAUAACACCCUCCAGAGCAGAGACUCUUCUCCUUAAGCACUGGAAGCUGGGAUGGGAAAAACCACAGGUCUAUGAAACUCCUUGGGGGGGAUGGAUUUCGGCCAGGGUCUGCUCCUCUUGGUCAGCAAACACCAUCUUCCCAGGGCAGAGCCAUCACCAGGCACCUUAGAGCCACUUAUUUACCAUUGGGAAUGUUAUCAGAGGCUGCUUAUCAGCCACGGCAGGCAAAGUAAACACGGGCCCAGCGCCACAGGCGGGUUAUCACCUGGCAGGCCACAAAGGUGACACUUCCACCCUGGGCAAACCACCACUGGAUAUUGCUGCGGCACUGGCAGCCAGCAGAGCACCAUCCCAGGGGACCGGUGGCAAGGCAGAGCCAGCAAAUAGCCACAGACCCAUGGAGAAGAAAUUAUUCCAGGGAAAGCACUCAGCUCCUGAGGCAGGGGGUGAUGGCAGAGCAGGUGGGGCGGCGGCAGGACAGGAUGAGUGCCAGCAGGAGGGACAGGCAGAGCUGGAGCGCGUCCCGGGCCCGCGGGGAUGGCGCCGUGGCACUGCGGCACAGCCCAGCCGAGGAGCAGCCAAACUUCCACACUCUGAGAGCAGCUCCUUCGCCACCUGUACUUCCCUAGACACAUCCUGCUCCUGCUCCUGCUCUGAGGGGCUCAUCUGAAGGAAAACCCAUGGAAAUAAUCCCCCCGACUCGGGAAGAGCCAGGAUAGGGGUGCUGGAUCCCUGAAUAGGCUGAGAGCUGAAGCUGUGUGAGCUCCCACAUCCCCACAGCCUCAGAGCCCUGACCAAAACACUGUCCAGGUGCAAUGGAGCCCAGCUGACUCCCAGCUGGAGGCACAGGGAAUGCUCCCACAACACCUAACACAUACAUGGGGGCACAGAACCAAACGGAAUCACUGGUGCCUUGUGGCUGGAAACAGGCUGGGAAAUAGCUCCUGGAUCCUCACAGGCACUGUUGGCAAAGACCUGCCUGCACAGCCCUGGAGUCCAAGCACUGCAGGGAUGGGAUGGACACACUGAGGUUGUGGGUUUUUAGGAGCUCAGGUCAAAGGAUAUGUCAGGAAGGAAAAGGAGACCUUACUGACAAGAAACACCAAAAUAACAUCCCCUGGCAUAGCACCAAAAGGUGUUUUCCCUGCCUGGCUCCUCAGGUAUCCUCUGCCAGGGGAUGCCAUCCUGCCCUGAAGCUGAAACUCCUAUCAUGGAGGCACCAAAGCCUUCAUCUGCCCUUCUCUCAUGCUGGAAAGGGGCUCUGACCCAAUCUGGAGCCUCCUUGUCCAGAGCUCAGCACUCUCUGGCUUCCCUCACGUCAUCCCUUAAAUCCACCAGCGCCUGCACUGCUUAAUCCGGGUGAGCGGAUUUAUCCCCAACCGGCGCUGACACCGAGGGGCACCACACAGGGACUGGGCACAGCAAAGGCAUCAGAACCCCUCCGAGGUCACCGAACACACGAAACCCC